rnacentral:rRNA from 1 species
UGGGGAAUAUUGCACAAUGGGCGCAAGCCUGAUGCAGCCAUGCCGCGUGUAUGAAGAAGGCCUUCGGGUUGUAAAGUACUUUCAGCGGGGAGGAAGGGAGUAAAGUUAAUACCUUUGCUCAUUGCCGUUACCCGCAGAACAAGCACCGGCUAACUCCGUGCCAGCAGCCGCGGUAAUACGGAGGGUGCAAGCGUUAAUCGGAAUUACUGGGUGUAAAGCGCCCGCAGGCGGUUUGUUAAGUCAGAUGUGAAAUCCCCGGGCUCAACCUGGGAACUGCAUCUGAUACUGGCAAGCUUGAGUCUCGUAGAGGAGGGUAGAAUUCCAGGUGUAGCGGUGAAAUGCGUAGAGAUAUGGAAGAAUACCGGUGGCGAAGGCGGCCCCCUGGACGAAGACAGACGCUCAGGUGCGAAAGCGUGGGGAGCAAACAGG